UUUAUUUUUUUCCUCUACAAAAUAUGAAACAACGCCGUUUUUUUAGGUUUUCUACAUCAAAGGCUCAAACUCAUCAUAGUAGAUGAAAUCUGGAAAAACUAUACGAAUCUAACUUUGAGAAAUCGAGAAAAGGGUCCUUUCGAUUUUCUUCACUAAGCUAAGGAGUCCUCUUCUCUCGCGUUCACUACCACUCAAUCUGAGUCCCGAAACUCUAUCUUCGCUUCAAUUGCCAAGAACGUGGUACUUCUUCUACUCAAGGCAAUAAUUAUCCUUCAGAGUCCACACCUCAAUAGAAAAAACAGCCAGAGAUAACAAGAAGAUGGAGAAAGGGUUGUUGGUUUGAGAUCAAAGGAGGAGGUUGAAGUUGGUUUCUAUCUUAUUUUUCUAUGGUUUGCAGUUUCUUUAUAAGUAAACUUUAUGUAUUUUCAGAUUCUCUAUGGUUUGUUGUAUUUCACUUUCUGAGUAUCAGAAAUCAGGUUCAUUA